AACCACCACCCAAAUUAUUCCUCUUCUGUUUAUGUUCCUCUUAACACUUUGAAAGUUUUGAUCAAAUUCACCCUUCAAACUUCAGAAAUGUGGUGAAUACAACCACAGUUGCGUUACCUUGCCAUGUCGUUUAGCAUCUCGUCUUUUGGGAGAAAAGCAGACAGAGACAGACCUACAGGAGAUACUUCGUGAGAGGUGAAACCUAGGCUGAUGUUUUUCCAACAUUCUGUGACUAUUGGCAGUUGGAUCUCGUUGACAGGAAAUCACAGGAACUGUGAGAAAUGAAUCCAUUCUUUCUUCUGCAUUCGAAUCCCUGCCCUACGGCUGGUACAGAGGUGACAGAUUCCUUCUGUGCUGUAUGUUUCUACGAUUUUAUGAAUGGUGAAAGGAGGAAGUGAUCCAAGAAUGACAUUCAUCUCAAACAGAAUGAAAACAGGAGUUAACCCAGUCAGACACCUAAACAAGAUGAAAACAGGAGUGAUCCCAGUCAGACACUUAAACAAGAUGAAAACAGGAAUGAUCCCAGUCUGACACUUAAACAAGAUGAAAACAGGAAUGAUCCCAGUCUGAUACUUAAACAAGAUGAAAACAGGAAUGAUCCCAGUCAGACACCUAAACAAGAUGAAAACAGGAAUGAUCCCAGUCAGACACCUAAACAAGAUGAAAACAGGAGUGAUCCCAGUCAGACACUUACCUUAAACAAAGUGAUCAGAAAUGAUGGCUUCAGGAAUACAGUUUUUUCUAGAGCCUGCAGAUUCUGGAACCACAGAAUUAACCCAAUCCGAUGCAAAUAACUCAGAAUGUAUUCCAGUUGUUCGCUGUCAAUGUUGUGAAGAUUUACCAUUUCCAGUAAUUCAUCGAGUGCUACAGUUCCUGUUUUUAAAAACCCACAACAUUAAAAGUCAGCCUCUGUA